GCAUGCGUGUUUAUAUACAUAGUUACCUUGCAUCUGAUUCUCUACGAAAGGAAAUUUUGUGCGAUUAGCGAUUCGGUUAGAAAGAAUUCAACAAAAAUGUGGUACGAAAUAAUUCCAUCGAUGAUAAUAAUAGGUUUGAUACCAGUCGUUCCUCAUUAUUUAAGUGUUUAUAUAAAUCAAUAUUCCCUAGGAAACCCAAUGCGUAGAGACAUGCGAGAUAUAUGGGACCGACAUAUGUUUACAAGAGAUGCUCGCAUAGAUGGAGCGCCAUGGUACAACAGGGGGCUAGAGAAUGUUCCUGAUGAUUAAAAAGUACAAAUAAUAUAUUUCAAAAUAGAAAUGCAGCGACAGUUACAUGAUACAUAGAUAUGAGAUAUAUAUGACAAAGUGUCAUUCAAUUGUAAAUUAUAUAAUAAUUAAUGAUAGAAAAAUAUAUCAUAUUACCUUGAA